GACAAAACCUGAUCCUUCUUUUCCGUCUGGGCUGCCGACAUGCCAUCCAGACUGAGGAAGACCCGGAAACUUCGGGGCCACAUGAGCCACACCACGGCCGCAUCGGCAAGCACUGGAAGCACCCAGGAGGCCGGGGUAAUGCUGGUGGCAUGCAUCACCACAGGAUCAACUUUGACAAAUAUCACCCAGGUUACUUUGGAAAAGUUGGCAUGAGACAUUACCACUUAAAGAGGAACCAGAGCUUCUGCCCAACUGUCAACCUUGAUAAACUGUGGACCUUGGUCAGUGGGCAGAUACGGGUAAAUGCCGCCAAAAACAAGACUGGAGCUGCUCCUAUCAUUGAUGUGGUGCGAUCGGGCUACUACAAAGUUUUGGGAAAGGGAAAACUCCCAAAACAGCCUGUCAUCGUGAAGGCCAAAUUCUUCAGUAGAAGAGCAGAGGAGAAGAUUAAGGGUGUCGGGGGCGCCUGCAUUCUAGUAGCGUGAAGCCAUGUUUGGGCGGGGUUCAUUAAAUGCUAACAAGUGCUUUUCUCUUCUGGUCUGGGUGUAAAUUCAUUAGCACCCCUCCCUCCUUACCUGUACCUCAGAAACCCACCUAACAGAUUCUAGGAGUAAGGGUAUGAGGGCCUGAGACCCUCUGCCAACUCCCCUCAGAAAGUGUGAAAGAGAGCGUCAGCACUUAGAGGACUUGGCCCAAUACCUAACUUGAACAUUUUCAUUUAUAAAGUGAGAAUGAUAUCACAUGUAGUUGAAAGGCCAGUUUGCAUUGUAUAUUCUGAAUUUACAAUGAGGGGGAGAACACACCCAGGGUUUGUUAGGUUUUGUUAAAGUAAGCUCUCCACCCAACAUGGGGCUUGAACUCACGACCCUGAUUAAGAGUUACUUGCUCUACCAGCUGAGCCAGUCGGGCACCCCAAAAGGGAAGACUCAGUUUUGAUGGGACACAUUCUAAAGAGUGGACAGAGUGAUAGGAUUAAAGUGAUUGUGAAGGAUAUAAUUCCUGAACCUAAAGUUUUUCCUCCUUGACGCCCCCAUUAUUUACCAUACUGUUCCAGAAUCUUGAGAUGGGGCCCAGCAGUCUGAAUGUUAAACACACCAGGGCUUUUACACAUGAAAGUGGUUUGGAAUCUAAAAAGCAUUUGUCAGGAUUUAUGUAUCCCUGUGCAUUAAUGUUCAAAGAACUACAUCAUGAAAUGCUAAAGAUUCUAGUCUGAAAUGUAUUUAGCAUAGAAUUUGGAAAAAGCUAGAAGCUGGAAUUGGGUUUUCUAGGGUUUGUAUCUCCUACAAAACCACAAUGAUGACCAAUGCUCAUGUGCAGAUAGGACCUUCAGAUCUCAGGGUAAAUUGACUAACAGUUUUUCUAGUUCUUUCCAAAACUUAAAGUUUUCUUUGGCCCAAAAUAAAAGUUGCUUUCUAGAACCCUGUCCAAAAAAAAAAAAAAAACCUGAUCCUUACAGGAGCAGA